ensembl:snRNA U6 U6 spliceosomal RNA
GUGCUCGCUUCGGCAGCACAUAUACUAAAAUUGGAAUGAUAAGAGAAGAUUAGCAUGACCCCUGCUCAAGGAUGACACACAAAUUCGUGAAAAGUUCCAUAUUUUU